rnacentral:rRNA from 1 species
CGAACCUCUGGGUGUGCCAGUUGUUCUGCCAAGGGCAUGGCUGGUUGGCUACGUUCGGGAGGGAUAACCGCUGAAAGCAUCUAAGCGGGAAGCCUGCUUCGAGAUGAGGACUCCCACCCACUUGAUGGGGUAAGGCUCCCAGUAGACGACUGGGUUGAUAGGCCGGAUAUGGAAGCACGGUAACGUGUGGAGUUGACCGGUACUAAUAGGCCGAGGGCUUGUCCUCAGUUG